rnacentral:rRNA from 1 species
AUUGAACGCUGGCGGCAGGCCUAACACAUGCAAGUCGAGCGGAUGAAGGGAGCUUGCUCCUGGAUUCAGCGGCGGACGGGUGAGUAAUACCUAGGAAUCUGCCUGGCAGUGGGGGAUAACGUCCGGAAACGGGCGCUAAUAACGCAUACGUCCUGCGGGAGCAAGAGGGGGAUCUUCGGACCUCACGCUAUCAGAUGAGCCUAGGCCGGUUUAGCUAGUUGGUGGGGUAAUGGCCUACCAAGGCGACUAUCGGUAACUGGUCGGUGAGGAUGAGCGGUCGCCCUGGAGGUUGACCGCGGUCCAGGCUCCUGCGGGAGGCCGCAGUGGGCAAUAUUGGGCAGUGGUCGGAAGCCUUGUCCAGCCGGGCCACGUGUGUUGAGAAGGUCUUCGGAUCGUGAAGCACGUUUUGGGGUUGUGAACGGCUUUAGGCUAUUACCUUGCUGUUUUGACGUUACCGAGUGAAUAAGCACCGGCUAACUACGUG